UUAGCCCAGCACCGAAGCCUAUCCGUUUUUGCGGACAGGGCAAUGUGGUGUUGAGACAUGCGUCUUGGAGUCACUUGUCUACUCGAAGUCCAGCUCCGAUUAUGGCAUUGGAUUUGUCCCAAAGAGGGUGAGAGGCCCGUACGAGUAGACGGUAAUGCAUGAUGAGUGAUUCUUUGAUGCGCAUGUCAUCGAGUCGGAUUGCUUGAGAAUGCAGUCCAAAGUGGGUGGUAAACUCCAUCCAAGGCUAAAUACUGGCACGAGUCCGAUAGUAAACAAGUACCGUGAGGGAAAGUUGAAAAGUACUCUGAAGAGAGAGUAAAUAGUACGUGAAGCCGCCUGUAGGGAAGCUGGUGGAGUCAAGCUCUUGACUUGAAUGAUUAACCACGAGAGACUAUUGUUGUUGUUGCUUCGCUAGUUGGUGAAUCUGGAAAUCGUUUCAAUGGUUUUAUCGUCAUUGUGAGCGUUCCGGUUAGUGCGCUUAUGCCUGCUAAGCAAGCUGUCUCUUGUUGUCUAUCAUCCAGUCAUUAUCACGACUGAUAUGCUCUCGGUGUGUGAUUGUCAAACUGUGCUCAUGUGGGUUUCCAACCUGCUGAGUAUAGGAAGGCAGAAGGCGAACAGAUCCAAGGGUCUUCGUUCUCUAAUAACGAUAAAUUUCAGCCGACAAUCACGCUUCUCUACUGUUGAAGCAUACCAUAUUAAUAUUGCAAUUUCCAAUUUUUUGGUCUUGCAAUGAGAGUUGUGAUGUUGGAGUAGAUUUUCCACCCGACCCGUCUUGAAACACGGACCAAGGAGUUUAACAUGGACGCGAGUCAAUGGGCAAAUAUUAAACCCAAAGGCGCAAUGAAAGUAAAUGGCUGCCUUGUCGUGGCCUGAGGUGUGAUCGUGGGUGUCUUGUUCAAAGGAACUCGCGCGUAACACCGGCCCGUCUUAACAUGUUGUCUGCUGGACCACGGUCUUGGCUGCAUCAUGGAGGCGGAGCAAGAGCGUUCAUGUUGAGACCCGAAAGAUGGUGAACUAUGCUUGCGUAGGUCGAAGCCAGAGGAAACUCUGGUGGAGGACCGUCGCGGUUUUGACGUGCAAAUCGAUCGUCAAACGUGAGCAUAGGGGCGAAAGACUAAUCGAACCAUCUAGUAGCUGGUUCCCUCCGAAGUUUCCCUCAGGAUAGCUGGCAAUCUUAUCACUAAACAGUUUUAUCCGAUAAAGCGAAUGAUUAGAGGUAUUGGGGACAAAUUGGCCUCAACCUAUUCUCAAACUAUAAAUGGGUACGAUGCUGCACUCGCUCAAUUGGAGUGUAGCAUUGAAUGUGAUUGCCAAGUGGGCCAUUUUUGGUAAGCAGAACUGGCGCUGUGGGAUGCUCCGAACGUACAGUUAAGGUGCCCAAUGCAGACGCUCAUGAGAUACCAAAAAAGGUGUUAAUGCAUAUAGACAGCAGGACGGUGGCC
rnacentral:rRNA from 1 species